UUUCAUAAUAGAGAGACAUGCCAGCUCCUGGUAGUACCCCUAUUUCCUCCAAAGAAGAUAGGUGGGUACAAAAGAACCUCCACCCAGAGCUUGUUUACAAACACUGAGCAAACCUACCUUUCACCUCAAUUGCUGCGAAGACACCCUUCAGACCGUGGACUCCGGGACACUGGGAAAUCAACUGCCUCAAGUCGCCUAGACAAAGGAGCAUAUGGACCUGUAACUGCAGUGGGUGCCCUCAGAACUCAGACGUGAAACUGUAACACUGAGGUCAAAGGAAACUUGAAACAAGACCUUGGAGGAGACAGAAACAGCAUAGCCCAGGCAAAAGCUCCCAAGCAAAAGCUCCCAAGCGUCUCUUAGAAGAUUGUGUGAUCACAUCUUCUGAUCGGCUGCAGUGUCUUUCAAGGAAAAUCUCCUUCUGCCCACAUUUCUAAGGAUAUUUGCAAUUCCACGGGUGGGGGUGCCCGUGUGUCCACAUGAACACUCUUCUUACAUCACAUCAACAGAAUUCCCUCUGGCCUUAUAAGAAGUUUGGAGUUGGGCCAGAUCCGUGUGACAAAAGCUGAUCCCCAAGAGAACACACCAGGUUUUUAUCAUCGUACACAGGACGUACCUCUCGGGGGACCUCAGGGAGUGAUAGCCUGAAGAGUGGCUUACAACGCUUUGUUGGGAAACAGCAAGUUUAGGGAACCAACAGGAGAGGACCAAGCAGAGGCGGGAGACUGCCUGGAGGGCUGGGCAGCCAGGAACCAACAAGCGGCCUCCUUACAACACAAAAGGGUACCCUCGUCCAGUGCCAUUGUACACCUGUUCCACAUGGUUCCGUUUCUCAGAAAAUCAUGUGUCUUGAACCUGGUCUGCCACACAAGGAAGACACGGCAGGCCUGGACUGGUGCCUCUGCGUUUCUGAUUCCCGUGCGCUUUCUGUCCUGGUUCCAGCGCUUUGUGAAAGCCCCACUCCACACAGAUGGGAAGCGAGAUGCGGCUGCUUUUCACCAUUGUCCCCUGUAAUGUCAGCUUCGUACCACUGUGGCCAGACACAAGGUGAUGCUGGGGAUUGAACCCAGGUCUCUGCGCACACAAGGAAAGUGCUUCAUACUAAGAUGUGCUGCCAGUUCUCAGCCACUGCCAGUUAAACUCACCCAGAAGUUUGACAGAGAAGACAAUCGAAAAUGUUUGACUGGGUUUAAGUGAUUCAUAACAGCCCAUAGUUGUGGUUAGUCUGCAGUGUUCACUUGAAUCAGGAGGAAAACAGGACCUAAGGUCUGAAGUAGGUACAAAAGGCAUCCAAACAGAAUGAUAUCAUCAAACGUGUUUAAUUAUUACACUACAAUAUGAAUAAAUUCUAAUAUCAGCCUCACCCAAAUCAAGAUUCUAGGAAACAGUCGCUGCUGAAACACAGCCAGUCAAAUGCUCCUCUCUCCCCCAAGCCCUACCCACUGCAGGAACUUCAACCAAUGAAAGCAUUCCACUAAGAACUGAGGCGGAUAGGAGACUACAUGCUGACAGUGUCCAAUUCACAAUAAUCAACGUUUG